AGGCGCUGGAGGAGCUUGUCAGCGGAUUGAGUGAGCAGGUACACAGUCACUUCAGGAGGUACGAGGUGGAAUACCUACAGUUCGCCUUCCGGUGGAUGAACAACCUGCUCAUGCGGGAGCUCCCUCUGCGCUGCACCAUCCGCCUGUGGGACACCUACCAGUCCGAGCCUGAGGGCUUCCUCCCACUUCCACCUCUACGUGUGCGCCCCCUUCCUGGUCAAGUGGAGGAAGGAGAUCCUGGAUGAGGAAGACUUCCAGGGCUCGAACUCAGGACUUUGUGCUUUUGUGGCAGGCACAGAACCCUGAGCUAAAUCCCGGCAAUAUCUUAAUUCUUUUUAGGUCCCCUUCCCCUCUGCCCCUUUCCCAUUUGCAAACUAUAUUUCCUGUUAUUUAUCUUUUAUUUUGCUCUUUCAUUUAUUUAUACUUUGGGUUUCUCAUAUAAAUGGUUGUCUAAAAAGCACUGAGGCAGACACAGUUGAAGCCAAGAAAGAACUGAAGGAAAGUUGUUACUGUGAGACGCCGAUGGAUCUCAUCAGAGAUGUCGGACUUGGCU
rnacentral:lncRNA from 1 species